ACGGGACCCAUUAAAUUAGAUUCUGGGGUUAUCGUAGUAACAACAGACCCAAUUUAUUUGCUACUAAUCUGUGGGCUACAGUAUAUGUUUAGAACUUAAAUUAAUGUGAUGUGGCAAACCUGGCAUGAUUUCAGAGAUGGGUUCUGUAUCUGUUGCUGUAGAAAUAUACCACUGUCACUAUAUAGUGACUAGUCUAGUGAGUAGUGAGUACACUGCAUCAACAUCUACCAAAGAUCACCAUCACAUUUACCUUUACUUUAGUUUCAAAUUCACUUUAGACCUGCAUAAUUUGGUCAAAUAUGUAAGUCUUUUCUUUGUAUCCUUAUUAUAAGUAUAAGUGGUUUUAGGUAUGACCAUAUUUUGUCAAAGUGCAGAUCUUCGGUAAUAAAGUCUACCGUACAUCUAUACUCGUACUCAUCGAAAGCUGUUUCACUUUCAGCAACUAAACAAGGAUAUUGUGGUGUGUUGUCUCUCAUAGUGGUCACGAUUAAUUAGAGCAGAGUGAAAGAAAUGACUUGAAACAAUAUAAUUCAACAGUCUGACUGGGUCUAAACUUUAGUGCACUAAAAUUAUUGUACAUGUAGAACCACAUGCCUUCACCAGGUCAGGUCUAGCACUUGGUAGGUUUGCCAGUGUUAGAGAUACGAUUAUCAAAUAUCAGGUUUUAUUUUCUUUAUAAACUAUUGCUAUUAUAAAUACCUUUAUUCAAACAUUAGAUGGAGUUUAUCCAGGAUAGCCUUGUCCCGUAGAACAGGAACAAAUCUACUAACUUGACUGAUAUCAAAAGGAGAAAGAAUUCGGUACCAAGGAGAGGCACUUAGGUGAAAAUGAAAUAGGGCAGCAGGUGGUGGCGGGGAAAAUGUUGGCAGUGUCGGAACCUGGACUUGUACACACCAUGGAUAUGGGAGACAUCCCAUUAGCUGAGCUUGUGAUUCAGAUACGUUCACGCCCAAUGACCGAUGAUACUAAGUUUGACUGCCCACAGACUGACAGCCUAAAAAUGCUCCUGACAGAGUUGAAAUGCCCAUCAGAGGUCCAGCAAGGAUGUAAUGUCCCAUACAUUGACCCCUUUUGAUUGAAGACCAGCCAACUUAAAGCUCACAGAUUGGUGUGAUUCAAUUGGCCCCAGUUCUACAAAAGGAUAGCCCACAGUUUGCUGACAGCCCACACACUGACUGCUAUUAGAACAAUGGUCCACAAAUAAUUGCUCAACAAGUUGAGAGCAAAGGGAUCCCAAACCCAUGGACAACAGGUCACUGGUUUUUAGUUCUCGGACCUGGUGAGGACAUCCCAAAGGCAGAAUGAAACAAACCCCAUGGAGUUGGAUACAGACUUUGAGGAUGAAGUACACAAAGUGGAAUCUGACACAGAAAACUUCCUGUUAGCUGCUGUUGGUCAGUAAUAGCACAGCAGAUGUUUCACCUGUUAUAUUGGAAUUUGUAUUCAUGUAAUUUGAAUCAUAAUCAUUCAAAUUAUAUACAUCUAUAUAUAUAUUACAUAAUUCUUUUAAUUUUUCCAAGGUUUACAAGUAAAAGAUAUGUUCAAAAUAACAUUGUUAUUUACACUUGGUUAUUCCAAAACAACUUAAUACAAUAACAAGUAAUCAUGCUACAACAUUGUAUAAUACAUGAUAAUUUAAAGAGGUUUCCUGGGUGGGGGCCAAUUGAAGAGCUAAAGGAAAGAAUCAUAGGAAGGAAGAUUGUGUAUUCUAAGAUUUGACUUAUCAUCUACUGAGGAAAUUACAUAGAAGUUGGAAGGCUUUAGAAUGAGGGCCACUACCUUUAUUAGUUGGACAUAUAUUUUGUUAGAUUUACAUUGUUUAAUGCUUUCAGUUUCAUACAGUAACUCUUCUCAUGUUGGUGGAUCUUUUCUGAUGGGGGCUGAAGUGUUCAUUUGUGAAAUGACUUUCAUUGACAAAUUUUAAAGGGAUUUAAAUGUAUUGUUGAAGAAUGCGUUGUUGACAUAAUAUGUAUAUAGUGGCCUUGCAAACUUCUAAUCAUCAAUUGUCUUUCAAGUGACUGAUCUACACCAAUAUUUCAUUGGGGAGCAAUAAACUCAUGUAAUUAAUAUUAACAAGUUGAUUUAAUUAGAUCUGAAAUACUCUGAAUGUAUAUUCUAUUCCCAUUUGAGCUUUCAGUGUUUGGCAUAUCAUCUGAAGAAUUUCUAAAAUAUAUAUGAUAUGUCUUUCUAAACUGAUCAGGAAGGGCACUGGAUAAUCACCUUCUCUGAUCCAGUUCAUUGUUGAUGCUGUUUCUUUAGUAAUGAGUAAUCUAGCUUAGUUAUAGAUAAAUUAAAUUGAGAGUAGAUUUCAUGUGAAAGUACGCUUUGCUUGUGUUAUCUGAAAAAGUUAUUUCCUGUUCUAAAAAUAGUAUUAUGCUGCAGAAUCCUUGUGCAUAUACUGCAAGAAAUUUAGUCAAUUAUGCAUGAAAAAUAUAUGAGCUGUCAUAUGGAGUAAGUAGAUAUUAGCUGCAUCUCAAAAUUACAAUAUUCAUAUUCAUUGCAACAUUUAAAUAAUAUGGAUAAUGUGUACUAUUUGUAUGCAUCAUUUCUAAGUCUUCAAGAAUCAUCUUUUCUGUGGCGUAUUUGUACUAAUUAAGAAACUUGUUGAAAUUUGCCAAUGUUUUCAACUUGUCCAUGAACCUCAUUUUGGCUUCAUAAUUCCAUCAAAUGUUAUAAUUGAGUAAAUAAAAUGUCUUUAUAUUAAUGCAAAUCCAUGGACAUUUUUGACACCCCCAGAUGUGCACACGUAUGCAUUUAGUAUAAAUUGUAAUAAAAAUUGAAAUACAUGUAAUAGGAUGAACAUAUUAUUGUACUGUGCAAAUAUAUUGUGCUUAAUUUUACGCCGAUUUGUAGAUUGUUAGCAUGCCUCUUGUAGUUUUGCUACAAUCGUGUUUUGUAACAACUAUGCAGCAUUUUCUAAUGGUUACAUUUAAUUGUUGUACAAACAAUUAAUCAUUUCUUUGCUCAAAAUGAGGAUUAAAUAUGUAUAUUAUCAAUUUAAA